rnacentral:lncRNA from 1 species
UAUUUAAAUGAUGCUUAUGAGUUGGAGUUCUAUAUAGAUAAGCUGCAUUGUGUUCCAUCCUUGUUCCUUGGCCUAAUAGUUGAGCACUAGGCUACCUGUGUCACAAUAGCAGCAAGAUGACAUUUGGGAAAUUUGCAAGUAUUGUCAUCUUGCUUGCGUGUACACUCUUAACUUCCCUUAACCUUGUGACCGGAAAAUGUACCGAGCAAGACAAGAACGAAAUACUCAACCUAUGUAAAGACAACCUCAAACGUAAUACUCCCAUUAUUACAUUACCAAAAGACGGUCCCUGUUGUGUGGAGGUAAGAAAGAUCAACGACAUGCUGUGCAUCAUCGAUCAUAUGACAAUUCCAGAGAAGAGGAUAUACGAUGAGAAUAAGGUUCAACGCCUUUUAUGGUGGUGCAGAAAAGGGCCCUCUCCUCUUCAUCCAAAUCAAAACCAGGUAUAAAUCACACUCAUCUAUUUGUUUUACAAAAGCACAGUAGAUAAUGACAGAAGUAUUAGCUAAAAAAAGGUUAACUAUAUAUAUAUAUGCUUCGUUACAUAUCUGUGUAUUCUUCUUGCCAGGUCAUUGCGUAGAGGGAGUGAGGGACUCUAUUGGAGUGGAGUACAUGCGCGUAAUAAGGAGUAUCAGACAAGAAAAAACGAGUGCUAGUUAAUGAAAUGAUCAAUGGGUUACACUGUAAUAUGUAAUCUUUUUUAUUAAUUAACUAGUGCUUGAUCAAUUAA